rnacentral:rRNA from 1 species
AGAGUUUGAUCCUGGCUCAGGACGAACGCUGGCGGUGCGCCUUAUGCAUGCAAGUCGAGCGAAGCUUUUCAGUAGUUUACUACAGAAAAUGACUGAGCGGCGAACGGGUGAGUAACGCGUGAGCAAUCUACCUUAGUUACAGGGAUAGCCCGAGGAAACUCGGAUUAAUACCUGAUAUUCUUUAUUUCUCGCAUGAGAAUAAAAGGAAAGGUCAGCCGAACUAAGAUGAGCUCGCGUUCUAUCAGCUAGUUGGUGAGGUAAAAGCUCACCAAGGCUACGACGGAUAGCUGGUCUGAGAGGACGAUCAGCCACACUGGGACUGAGACACGGCCCAGACUCCUACGGGAGGCUGCAGCAGGGAAUAUUGUGCAAUGAACGAAAGUUUGACACAGCGACACCGCGUGUGGGAUGACGGAUCUAGGUUUGUAAACCACUUUCAGGAGGGAAGAAAAUGACGGUACCUCCAUAAGAAGCCCCGGCCAACUACGUGCCAGCAGCCGCGGUAAUACGUAGGGGGCGAGCGUUGUCCGGAUUUAUUGGGCGUAAAGAGCUCGUAGGCGGUUCAACAAGUCGGUCGUGAAAGUUCAGGGCUCAACCCUGAAAUGUCGAUCGAUACUGUUGUGACUAGGAUACGGUAGAGGUGAGUGGAAUUCCGAGUGUAGCGGUGAAAUGCGUAGAUAUUCGGAGGAACACCAAUUGCGAAAGGCAGCUCACUGGGCCGCUAUCGACGCUGAGGAGCGAAAGCUAGGGGAGCAAACAGGAUUAGAUACCCUGUAGUCCUAGCUGUAAACGAUGGAUACUAGACGUAGACUGGAUGACGGUUUCUGUGUCGCAGCUACGCGUAGUAUCCGCUGGGGAGUACGUCGCAGACUAAACUCAAAGAUGACGG